rnacentral:misc_RNA from 1 species
GAGAGAGAGAGAGAGAGAACAUUGUAUACGGUCUUUACCAAUAAAAUCUGGAAUUAUUCGGCCAUCAGAGAACCUUCCAGUAGGAUACUUGAAGAAUGUCUCGCCAUAUGGCCAGAAAUUUGCCUUGGAAUCAUUGGAAAUAUUGCGAAAGUUAUUAUUCCCAGGAUCAAAUACUGAAUCUCCAAAAACGAACAGGGCAACGUGCUUGCUAGGCACUCUGUGGUCACCUUUAGAACUAGCUGAGGGGACAGUAAAAAAGAAAAACAUCAUCAAUACAUAAAUAAGAAAGCUUACGUUUGACAUGGCCACCACAGUUGUCAAUCUAUUCAU